UCCUUUUUUUUAUGCGUGCCUUAUCUGCAUGUACACCUACAUGUCAGAAGAGGGCAUCAGACACCUUUAUAAAUUGAGACCCACCUUGUGGUUGCUAUGAAUUGAACUCGGGACCUCUAGGGGAACAGCUAGUAUUCUUAACCCCUGAGUCAUCUCACUAGCCGCUUACUGCUUUUUAAAAUGAACAGGUUUCAUUAUAAUGUUUUCAUACAUGUGGAUCAUAAACUCUGCUCAUUUUUUUCUUUUUUUUUAAAGAUUCAUUUAUUUUAUGAGUAUACUGCACUAUCGCUGUCUUCAGACACACCAGAAGAGGGCAUCAGAUCCCAUUACAGAUGGUUAUGAGUCACCAUGUGGUUGCUGGGAAUUGAACCCAGGACCUGUGGCAGAGCAGAGUCAUCUCUCCAGCCCUGCUCACCUUUUUCACCUUCAAAUUAAUCUGACAUUGGCUACUACCCAAGUGGUUCUCAACCUGUGGGUCUCAACCCUCUUAGAGGUUGCAUAUCAGAUAUUUGCAUUCUAAUUUAUAACUAAAAAUUACAGUUAUGAAGUAACAAUGAAAUAACUUAUGGUUGGGGGUCACCACAACAUGAGGAACUGUAUUAAAGGGUUGCAGCAUUAGGAAGGCUGAGAGCCACUGCUCUACCCUUUCCUACAAGCCUCUUCUGUCCCCAAGGUAGUCAGUCCUCUUACCUUCAUGUCUUAUAUGUAUACAAAACAAAACAAAAUGUACAAUUUGAAGAGAAAAAGAACACUAGGAAAUAUAAUGUCGGAGUUAAGUCUUGGGCUCAGAGAGCCCAAGUUUAAAGAAAGGCCUGAUGAGAAAUGGAAUAGAGAAUGGUGUCUCCUAGGAAGACCCCACCCAGCUAAACUUGCAACCAGUUAAAAGGCCUCCUACAGCAAAGGAAAGCUUAUUCAACAAAGGAAAGCAUCCAGGAAUCAAAGCUUAUACAAAUGUAUGGAAGGUGGCAGCUCCAUCCCAAGCAGGAAGCAGGAUUUGGCAGCUUCAGCAACUUGGACCUGCUUCAGUCAAGAAGGAUGCAGCAGUGAGCAAACAGGCUGUGGUUUCUUCCUCCACUAUAAAGGAAAGCUGGUGACACCAGGCUGUGGCCAGGGAGUUCCUGCAUGGAGGAGUGGAGAAGCCAUCACAUGAAACUGAAAAUGAAGCCUGGAUUGUGUUGGAGACCCUAAGAUCUUGAAGAUGCCAGAGCUGUGGGAUACUGUCAAUCCCACUGGGUGAGAAUAAGACCACUACCACAGCUUUGAGCCAAAUUUGAAGCAAGCUUUAAUUAAAUAUUGGCUGAUGGACUCUGGUUAGAUCCAUUCUGGGGUUCCUAGAAAAUGGCCAGGAGUUAUACUGGCAACUUAUAAGGCUAUAUACACCCCCCACUGGCUUCAUCCAAUAGGAGACAAGCAUACUUCCUGAUGUACUUCCAGCCUAAGUGUGAUCGAGUAUGUCCACUGCACCUGGGUCAACCAAACUUGUUAGGGAAGUGAAAAUGUAUGACUUAUCUCAUAUGAACAACAGCCCCCAGCGUCUCAGGAAGUAUCUGUCCUUGGGCAAGGGACUUACAGGUUGGAGGCAUUUUUGUUUUAUGGAUCUCACAAUACCUGCCCAGGAGAGCUACAGCCCAAGUAGAAGCAGCUCAAGAGAGAGAAGUGUGUUGUAAGGAUGAAAGGAACAGAAGAACUCAUGAGCAUCCUGACAGCAGACGUGGUGAUGCAGAGUUUGGAGUUCGUCCUGCUGGGUCUGGCUUGCUUUGGUCCAGUGUUUCCUCCUAUCGUCCCUUCCUACCUUUUGGUGCUGACCAGGACAAUGAGUGACAGGGACCCAAGGCACACUGCAAGCCAUCCUGACGCUCAUUUCCCCAAGGUAUGAGAAGACAUUUUAUAUCUGGGAGCAUGAAUUCUGUAGGGCUGGAUGAGGUCCUAGCCCUGCAGUGUGGAGCUAGAAGACAGAAGGCAGGCAACAGGCGUCCGAACUUGCUGGUGACUGGGAAUGGUGAGGACACCGGGGAGUCAUCGUGUAGCCCGUGACUACAACAGCACAGCAGCAAGAUGGCUGCCAGAGAGUCAGGAUGCAUCAGCUCAAGGCCUGUCCCUGAAACAACCUGACCCGCUUCCGUGUCUGUCCUCUUUAACUUGGUGUACUCCCCAAGUGGGGUCCAGGCUAAGUGAAGUCACAGGAGGACAAGAGAACACUUCUACCACCUUUGCUACUGCCACCCCUCCCCCAGAGUCCAUAGGUGCUUAAAUACAGAUCUGACCUCCAAACAGCU